AAAACUUUCAACAACGGAUCUCUUGGUUCUGGCAUCGAUGAAGAACGCAGCGAAAUGCGAUAAGUAAUGUGAAUUGCAGAAUUCAGUGAAUCAUCGAAUCUUUGAACGCACAUUGCGCCCCCUGGUAUUCUGGGGGGCAUGCCUGUUCGAGCGUCAUU
rnacentral:rRNA from 1 species